UACGGGGGGAGCAAGCGUUGUUCGGAUUUACUGGGCGUAAAGGGCGCGUAGGCGGCGUGACAAGUCACUUGUGAAAUCUCCGGGCUUAACCCGGAGCGGCCAAGUGAUACUGUCGUGCUAGAGUGCGGAAGGGGCUACUGGAAUUCUCGGUGUAGCGGUGAAAUGCGCAGAUAUCAGGAGGAACACCAGCGGCGAAGGCGGCGCUCUGGGCCGGUACUGACGCUGAGGAGCGAAAGCGUGGGUAGCAAACAGG
rnacentral:rRNA from 1 species